GACAGAGGUGCCGAGCGUUAGGCGGAAUCACUGGGCUUAAAGCGUGUGUAGGCGGACUUCUAAGUACCUUGUGAAAUCCCACGGCUCAACCGUGGAACUGCUUGGUAUACUGGUUGUCUUGAGCCACUUAGGGGCAGUCGGAACAGACGGUGGAGCGGUGAAAUGCUUAGAUAUGACAUAGAACACCAAUUGCGAAGGCAGCUGGCUACACAAAUAUUGACACUGAGGCACGAAAGCGUGGGGAUCAAACAGG
rnacentral:rRNA from 1 species